GAAAUCAGAAAGAUUUGGGUCAGGUGCUGUUUGCAGCCCCUCUGCCAAUGAAGUUAAUGGGCUGCCAGUGAUAGACCACUAGUAACAAGUCCCUAAGACAACAGCAGUAUCUGUUCUCACUGUACUGGGGACUUUUUGAGAUCCAGUCAUGGAAUAACACGAAAAUCUCAGCUUUCCUCCUCAACAGAAGUUCUUUGCUGGCCCCUGUGAUUAAAAGGGAAUAAAAACAACUUCAGGACUUGUGGGGAGCAAGGCAGAACUGCUGACUGCUUGAUUUCAAGCGGUUCACCCAUCAGUAUAGCCUGGUCUAAAAGCACACUGGACAGGUAUCAUUGACCAACCAAGAGGAAUUUCAGCCCUCCGCAGGCACAGCCCAUACUGUUGGGGCAAGGACAGGGAGCAGUGUGCCCUACAGCUACAGCCAUGCAAUGCACGACGAUCCCCACCUCUGCAAC